AUGAGUUUCUGUCGUCGGACGCGCUUGUCGGCGAGUAUGUAACAUGGAUACAAAGUGGUGUGUAUGCGAAACGCGUGUUACACAAUACAAACGGCGCGUACAUUUCUUCAGGAGUGUCGGUACGAAGUCAUCGGACUAGCAACUCAUUCUAAUAUGAAAUGAUAAGGGGAGGAAGAAAAUGGAGCAGGGAAAAAUAGAACGUAUAGAAUAAUGCAUACAUUUAUAAUUACACUGUGGCCAAAUAUAUCAAAAAAUAUAGUUUUGAUACUGUUAGUACAAUACAACAACACGAAAAGGUGUUGCAAUUUGUUUCGAUCAAAUUAUGUCCAAGUUGUAUAUAAAUAAAUCAAUAUAAUUAAUGGCAUUUUCUCCUCGCAAUAUAUAAUAAAUUAUAUAACCGACACUAUAAUAGUUAACAGAGAGAAAUUAUUCACAUUAAAUUAUGUAACAAAAAUAUAAUAUUUUUAAUGACAUA